UGCCAGACCUCUGGAUCGGCCAUAUGCUAACCCCGUCAGGUCCGGAAGGAAGCAGCGGUCCGCUCCUUGGUCGUGUCAGGGAAAAUCUGGCAGUC
rnacentral:SRP_RNA from 1 species